rnacentral:rRNA from 1 species
AUUGAACGCUGGCGGCAUGCCUUACACAUGCAAGUCGAACGAGGGUAGCAAUACCUUAGUGGCGAACGGGUGAGUAAUAUAUCGGAACGUACCCUAGAGUGGGGGACAACCAGUCGAAAGACUGGCUAAUACCGCAUACGAUCUACGGAUGAAAGUGGGGGACCGCAAGGCCUCACGCUCCUGGAGCGGCCGAUAUCUGAUUAGCUAGUUGGUAGGGUAAAAGCCUACCAAGGCAUCGAUCAGUAGCUGGUCUGAGAGGACGAUCAGCCACACUGGGACUGAGACACGGCCCAGACUCCUACGGGAGGCAGCAGUGGGGAAUUUUGGACAAUGGGGGAAACCCUGUUCCAGCAAUGCCGCGUGAGUGAAGAAGGCCUUCGGGUUGUAAAGCUCUUUUGUCAGGGAAGAAAAGGCUAUGGCUAAUAUCCAUGGCUGAUGACGGUACCUGAAGAAUAAGCACCGGCUAACUACGUGCCAGCAGCCGCGGUAA